rnacentral:rRNA from 1 species
UACGGAGGGUGCGAGCGUUAUCCGGAAUCAUUGGGCGUAAAGGGCGCGUAGGUGGCGGGACAAGCGUGCGGUGAAAGCCUGGGGCUCAACCCCGGGUCGGCCGUGCGAACUGUUUUGCUUGAGCACUGUAGAGGCAGGCGGAAUUCCGGGUGUAGCGGUGGAAUGCGUAGAGAUCCGGAAGAACACCGGUGGCGAAGGCGGCCUGCUGGGCAGUAGCUGACACUGAGGCGCGACAGCGUGGGGAGCAAACAGG